UUUCCCCGAUCACUUGCACUAUUUCUUCUUUCUUGAUCUAUAUUAACACAAUUUAAUACAUUUUAUCAAUAUUCCAUUCAAAUACAAUUCAUACACAACAUUUUGACACAUUUACAUUUUUCCCCAUAACUUUUCAAAAAUUCCACUUUUGUCCCUAAGCUCGUAAAAAUAAAAUUCUCUAAAUUCUUAAAUUUCAAACUUCACUAAAUCAUAUUUCAUGCUCAUAACGGGCCUCAAUUUCACAAAAUCACAACUUUAUGCACACUUUACCAUCUUUCACAAUUUAGCCCUUUUUCAACAUUUUUCAUUGAAAUUCAUCUAGUAAAACUUGUAAUUAACACUUCAAACAUUCAUUAUCUAACAUCACUAAUCAAUUUACAAUUAUAUCAUGAAUGGGUCAAUUUUUAAACUUUAAUUUCAUUUAAAUUAAAUGGUAGAAACAUGAAAUUCAAGCUUCAAUAAGCAUAAAAAUACGAAAAUAAUUAAAAACAGGGCAAGAAAUCACUUACAAUUGAGCUUAGGAAAAUCAAAACCCUUAACUAUGGUAACUUGAAACUUUCGGCAGCAAGCUUCUGAGUUUUUUGAAGAAGAUGGACACUUAUUUUCUCUUUAUUUUGUCUUUUACCCAAUUUGGACAAAAAUGCCCUUGACCCAUUACUUAGAUAUUUUUCUAGAAAUACCCUUUUGUGUCCAUAACACUAAUUUAUGGUCUAAUUGCCACAUAAACACUUCCAAUUUCAUGCAAUAAUUCAAUUAAGUCAUUUAAUCACUAAUUAGACACACUUUUCAUUUUUCUCAAUUUAGUCCUAAAAAUUCAAUUAAGCACUAAAGCAUUAAAAUUUCCUAUCCAUAUUUUCACACAAUAUUUCAAUCAAUUAGUAACUAAUAAAAAUUUAUAAAAUUAAACUAUUUCACUUCGGAUUUGUGGUUACGAAACCACUAUUCCGAUUAGGCCCUAUUUCGGGCUAUCACAAUUCUCCCCCCCUUAGGGAUUUUCGUCCCCGAAAAUCUUACCAGUGAAUAAGUUGGGAUACUGUUUCCUCAUAGCCUCCUCGGUUUCCCAUGUUGCCUCUUCCACCCCAUGUCGUUGCCAUAACACUUUCACUAAAGCAAUUUCUUUGUUUCUCAACUGUUUCACUUCUCGUGCCAAGAUUCGAAUCGGUUCUUCUUCGUAUGUCAUAUCCGAUCGAAUUUCCACUUCAGUCGGUGAAAUCACAUGUGAUGGGUCCGAUCGAUAUCGCCUCAACAUAGAAACAUGAAACACAUUAUAAAUUCUUUCCAAUUCCGGUGGUAAAGACAAUCGAUAAGCCACUGGACCAAUUCUUUCUAUCACUUCAUACGGACCAAUAAAUCUUGGACUUAAUUUGCCUUUACGGCCAAAUCUCAAAAUUUUCUUCCAUGGAGACACUUUCAAAAAUACUUUAUCUCCCACUUGAAACUCAAUCUCUUUUCUUUUCAAGUCCGCAUACGACUUCUGUCGAUCCGAUGCAACUUUCAAACAAUCACGGAUUAUCUUCACUUUUUCUUCGGUUUCUUUUACCAAAUCGACUCCAUGUAACUAAUUUUCAUUAAGUUCAGUCCAAUAUAAUGGAGUCCGACACUUUCGUCCAUACAACGCUUCAUAAGGUGCCAUUUUUAUGCUUGACUGAUAACUAUUAUUAUAAGCAAAUUCCACCAAAGGUAAAUAUCUUUCCCAAUUACCUUCAAAUUCCAAUACACAACAUAUCAACAUGUCUUCGAGUAUUUGAAUUACUCUUUCAGACUGUCCAUCGGUUUGGGGAUGGAAUGCUGUACUAAAAUUUAAUUUAGUACCCAAUGCCUCUUGUAAUUUCUUCCAAAACCUUGAAGUAAAUCGUGGAUCUCUAUCAGAUAUAAUAGACAUAGGUACACCAUGUAAUCGGACUAUCUCAGCAAUAUACAAUUCAGCUAACUUGUCAAGUGAAAAACUCAUUCGCACAGGAAUGAAAUGAGCCGACUUAGUCAAUCGAUCAACUAUAACCCAAAUUGAGUCUUUCUUUUUCGGUGACAAUGGCAAUCCAGAAACAAAAUCCAUAGUAAUUCUAUCCCAUUUCCACUCGGGCACCAUAAUAGGUUGAAGUAAUCCUGAAGGUACUUGGUGUUCAGCUUUUACUUGUUGGCACACUAAACACUUUGUCACAUACUCGGAGAUAUCCCGUUUCAUACCCGACCACCAAUAAAAUUUCUUCAAAUCAUUGUACAUUUUUACACUACUGGGGUGAACUGCCAAAUGACUAUCAUGUGCUUCUUGCAAAAUUUUCUGAAUUAAAUCAACAUUUUUCGGAACACAUAUUCUAUCACGAAACAUUAAACAUCCAUCUGAAUCAAUCUGAAAAUCAGAAUUAUUGUCCACUGCACACUGAGUCUUUCUUCUUUGCAAUUCAUUAUCCACUUUCUGAGCCUCACAAAUUUCUUGAAAAAACAAUGGUCUAGCUUUUAACUCUGCAAACAAUGAUCCAUCUUCAGUCAAUGUUAAUCUCGUAUUCAAAGCUCUCAAAGCAAAGAGAGACUUUCUGCUCAAAGCAUCAGCAACUAUAUUAGCUUUUCCCGGAUGAUAAUCUAUCACAAGUUCAUAAUCUUUCAACAAUUCCAACCAUCUUCUUUGCCGCAAAUUCAGAUCUUUUUGUGUCAUAACAUAUUUCAAACUUUUAUGAUCUGUAAAAACACGACAUUUCUCACCAUAUAAAUAAUGACGCCAAAUCUUCAAAGCAAAGACAAUAGCAGCCAACUCUAAAUCAUGGGUAGGAUAAUUUCGUUCAUGCGGUUUCAAUUGUCGAGAAGCAUACGCUAUCACCUUUCCUUCUUGCAUCAAUACACAUCCAAGCCCAUUUAGUGACGCGUCACUAUAAACAACAAAUUCCUUUCCUGACUCAGGUUGCACUAACACAGGUGCCUCAGUUAAACACUUCUUUAAUUUCUCAAAACUUUGUUGACACUCCUCGGUCCAUUCGAACUUAACAUCUUUUUGCAACAAUUUUGUCAUCGGUGAAGCUAUCAUCGAAAAACCUUCUACAAAUCGACGAUAAUAUCCGGCUAAGCCCAGAAAACUCCUAACUUCAGAUACAUUUCUUGGAGGCUUCCACUCAACUAUUGCCGAUAUCUUAUUCGGAUCCACUCGAAUGCCAUCUCCCGAGACAAUAUGCCCCAAAAAUCCAACUUCACUAAGCCAAAAUUCACUUUUGCUAAAUUUAGCAAACAAUUUAUUUUCUCGCAGCGUUUGUAGCACAAUUCUUAAAUGUUCAGCAUGCUCGGCUUCACUUCGGGAAUAAAUAAGAAUAUCAUCUAUAAACACCACAACAAAUUUAUCCAAAUAGGGCCGGAAAAUUCGAUUCAUCAAAUCCAUAAAAAUAGCUGGAGCAUUAGUCAGACCAAAAGGCAUUACAAGAAAUUCAUAGUGGCCAUAUCGGGUUCUGAAAGCAGUCUUUGGCACAUCUGACUCUUUAACCCUCAAUUGAUAAUAUCCGGAUCUCAAAUCAAUUUUGGAAAACACUGUGGCAUCCUUUAACUGAUCAAACAAGUCAUCUAUUCGGGGUAAUGGAUACUUAUUCUUCACUGUCACUUUGUUAAGUUGACGAUAAUCAAUACACAAUCUCAAUGUCCCAUCAUUUUUCUUCACAAAUAGCACGGGAGCACCCCACGGAGAGUAACUUGGUCUAACAAAUCCUUUAUCUGUCAGCUCUUGUAAUUGCACUUUUAAUUCUUUUAAUUCAGUUGGUGCCAUUCUGUAGGGAGCAAUCGAUAUUGGAGCAGUACCUGGCAUUACUUCAAUACCAAACUCUACUUCUCUAAUCGGAGGCAAACCUGGCAACUCUUCUGGGAACACAUCUACAUAUUCACAUACCACUGGCACUGAUUCGAUCUUUAUUUCAGACACUUUUGUGUUCAACACAUAAGCAAGAUAUGCUUCACAACCAUUUUUCAAACAUUUCUGAGCAGACAUGGCAGAAAUCACAAUUGGCAUCACAUUUGACUUAUCUGUUUCAACCCGAAGAACUGUACCACUACCACACUUCAACUCAAGAAUUUUCUGACUGCAAUCUAUCUUGGCCUUAUGUAAUGUCAACCAAUCCAUUCCCAAAAUAACAUCAAAUUCAUCAAAUGGCAACAACAUUAAGUUGGCAGGGAAACACUGACCUUGUAUAAUCAAAGGACAAUUUUUGCAUAUUUUAUCAACUAUCAUAUGCUUGCCUAAAGGAUUCGACACUUUAACCACAUACUCAGUCAAUUCAACACACAAAUUCUUAUCAGACACUAAAUUCAUGCAUACAUACGAGUGAGUAGAACCAGGAUCAAUCAAUGCAAGAACAUUAGUGUCGUAAAGAGAAAAUAUACCAGUGAUCACAUCAGGAGAAGAUGCUUCCUCUCUAGCUCGGAUGGCAUAAGCUCUUGCUGGAGCUCCCACUUCAGAUCUUACAGUCGUGUCUUUUGUUACGCCUUUACCACUAGUUCUAAUCCCCACAUUUCUCUGUGGUCUUCCUCUAGUAGUCACACUGCUCG
rnacentral:lncRNA from 1 species